rnacentral:rRNA from 1 species
UACGUAGGGUGCAAGCGUUGUCCGGAAUUAUUGGGCGUAAAGAGCUCGUAGGCGGUUUGUUGCGUCGGCUGUGAAAUCCCGAGGCUCAACCUCGGGUCUGCAGUCGAUACGAGCAAACUAGAGUGUUGCAGGGGAGACUGGAAUUUCUGGUGUAGCGGUGAAAUGCGCAGAUAUCAGGAGGAACACCGGUGGCGAAGGCGGUUCUCUGGGAAUGACCUGACGCUGAGGAGCGAAAGUGUGGGGAGCGAACAGG